AGGCGGGGAGGGGGAUGGAGUGAUGAGAGAUAAGAAGAGUGAAGGAAAGAGAGACCUGCUUGGUAUUCACCUGUCUCUCUGGAUCAAUAAAGGAGCAACAAUGUGAUGCAGAGUCCUCUCAAAAAUGUGGACUGGAGGUUUGUGGUUCUCUAUAACAUCUUGCCAAAGGACUGCAGUUGCGAAUUAGCCGGCUGGCUAAAACUGGCACAUUUACAGUAACACUGUUGAUUAAUGUGUACUGUCCUUUUGUAAAUAAAUAAACUGAAAC